GGGCGGUUAGUUUAAUGGUAAAACGCUGCAUUCACAUUGCAGAGAGUAUAGGUUCGAUUCCCAUACCGCCCACCA
rnacentral:tRNA from 2 species